rnacentral:rRNA from 1 species
UUUUUCUAAGGUUGACCUCGGAUCAGGUAGGGAUACCCGCUGAACUUAAC